UACGGGGGGGGCAAGCGUUGUUCGGAAUUACUGGGCGUAAAGGCUCGUAGGCGGCCAACUAAGUCAGACGUGAAAUCCCUCGGCUCAACCCGGGAACUGCGUCCGAUACUGGCAGGCUUGAAUCCGGGAGAGGGAUGCGGAAUUCCAGGUGUAGCGGUGAAAUGCGUAGAUAUCUGGAGGAACACCGGUGGCGAAGGCGGCAUCCUG
rnacentral:rRNA from 1 species